GCUCAGAGCCUUGCUGGAAUUCUGCAUCCAGUGUUGGGUUAUAUGAGCCUAGAGAGAUGCAGAGAAUUCACAGAAGGUUCAGCUCCUCUGCAAUCCCUGGCCCUGAAGGAGUGGGCAGCCUCCCCGUGUGCUGGGCACAGCAUUGAGGCUCCCUAAGCAGGACAUGACGGAUGGACUGCACGGAGCACACCAUCGUCCCCUGCAGAGUCUGUAACGUGGGCAGACUUUUCAUAUGAACCACCCCUGCUCCAGAUCCCACCGACUGACGGUGCGAAUUUGGAGAAAUUUCUUCAUCUUGGGGUCCCAUUUUCCCCUCAUCUGUAAAACAGGGAAGAUGCCCACAAAUCACCUUGGACUCCCUGGUCGCAGCUCCACCACUGGGAAGAUGCUUUAGCACUACUGUGGAGUCCCAGUGCCAGGAAAACGCCACCUUGAGAUAUCUCAGCAAGGUGACAGCCCUGCAGUAAAGAGAGCAUACAUCACAUCUUAAAGAAACGCAGAGGUCAACCACAUAAAUGUUACAAAGGGACAAUGUUAUAUUAAUGUUAAUGUUUUGCCGUUGCUGAUAUGUUUUUGCUGAUAGGAGAGUUGACAUAUGGUUUUAUGGUAAAUUAAGGAUGAUAAAUGGAAAAAUAAGAAUGAUAAAAAUAAUGUUGUCUCAU